rnacentral:rRNA from 1 species
AGAGUUUGAUCCUGGCUCAGAACGAACGCUGGCGGCAGGCCUAACACAUGCAAGUCGAGCGCCCAGCAAUGGGAGCGGCAGACGGGUGAGUAACACGUGGGAACCUUCCCUAUAGUAUGGAAUAGCCCAGGGAAACUUGGAGUAAUACCGUAUACGCCCGAGAGGGGAAAGAUUUAUCGCUAUAGGAUGGGCCCGCGUAGGAUUAGCUAGUUGGUGAGGUAAUGGCUCACCAAGGCGACGAUCCUUAGCUGGUUUGAGAGAACGACCAGCCACACUGGGACUGAGACACGGCCCAGACUCCUACGGGAGGCAGCAGUGGGGAAUAUUGGACAAUGGGGGCAACCCUGAUCCAGCAAUGCCGCGUGAGUGAAGAAGGCCUUCGGGUUGUAAAGCUCUUUUGUCAGGGAAGAAACGGUGGGAGCUAAUACCUUCUACUAAUGACGGUACCUGAAGAAUAAGCACCGGCUAACUACGUGCCAGCAGCCGCGGUAAU